UAUCUCAAAUCAUCAUCACUGAUAAUGGUUGGUAGUUUGACAACUCCAAGUUCAAUAAAUUUUACUCCAAAUUUUAUAUUGAUCACCGACUCACUUUUGUUGGAUAUCCACAGUCAAAUAGUGAGACUGAAGUAACCAAUAGAACUAUCCUUCAAGGUUUGAAAACAAGACUCACUGAUGUAAAAGAGUUAUGGGCUGA
rnacentral:lncRNA from 1 species